rnacentral:rRNA from 1 species
AUUGAACGCUGGCGGCAGGCCUAACACAUGCCAGUCGAGCGGAUGAAGGGAGCUUGCUCCUGGAUUCAGCGGCGGACGGGUGAGUAAUGCCUAGGAAUCUGCCUGGUAGUGGGGGAUAACGUCCGGAAACGGGCGCUAAUACCGCAUACGUCCUGAGGGAGAAAGUGGGGGAUCUUCGGACCUCACGCUAUCAGAUGAGCCUAGGUCGGAUUAGCUAGUUGGUGGGGUAAAGGCCUACCAAGGCGACGAUCCGUAACUGGUCUGAGAGGAUGAUCAGUCACACUGGAACUGAGACACGGUCCAGACUCCUACGGGAGGCAGCAGUGGGGAAUAUUGGACAAUGGGCGAAAGCCUGAUCCAGCCAUGCCGCGUGUGUGAAGAAGGUCUGCGGAUUGUAAAGCACUUUAAGUUGGGAGGAAGGGCAGUAAGUUAAUACCUUGCUGUUUUGACGUUACCAACAGAAUAAGCACCGGCUAACUUCGUG